UACGAAGGGUGCAAGCGUUACUCGGAAUUACUGGGCGUAAAGCGUGCGUAGGCGGUUUGUUAAGUCCGUUGUGAAAGCCCUGGGCUCAACCUGGGAAUUGCAGUGGAUACUGGCGAGCUAGAGUGCGGUAGAGGAUGGUGGAAUUCCCGGUGUAGCGGUGAAGUGCGUAGAGAUCGGGAGGAACACCCGUGGCGAAGGCGGCCAUCUGGACCAGCACUGACGCUGAGGCACGAAAGCGUGGGGAGCAAACAGG
rnacentral:rRNA from 1 species